UACGGAGGGUGCGAGCGUUGUCCGGAAUCACUGGGCGUAAAGGGUGCGUAGGCGGCCAACUAAGUCAGACGUGAAAUCCCUCGGCUUAACCGGGGAACUGCGUCUGAUACUGGAUGGCUUGAGGUUGGGAGAGGGAUGCGGAAUUCCAGGUGUAGCGGUGAAAUGCGUAGAUAUCUGGAGGAACACCGGUGGCGAAGGCGGCAUCCUGGACCAAUUCUGACGCUGAGGAGCGAAAGCCAGGGGAGCAAACGGG
rnacentral:rRNA from 1 species